rnacentral:rRNA from 1 species
GAUGAGGCAUGCAAGUCGUACGAAAUUGUUUACAAUUUAGUGGCGAAAGGGUUAGUAAUACAUGGGUAACUCACCUCAGAACUUGGGGAUAACGGUUGGAAACGACCGCUAAUACCGAAUGUGGUGAAAGUAAGAUUCUUACUUUUAUUAAAGCGGGGGAUCGCAAGACCUCGCGGUUUGAGAGGGGCCCAUGGGAUAUCAGCUUGUUGGUGUGGUAAAGGCGCACCAAGGCUAAGACGUCUAGGCGGAUUGAGAGAUUGACCGCCAACACUGGGACUGAGAUACUGCCCAGACUCCUACGGGAGGCUGCAGUCGAGAAUCAUUCGCAAUGGGCGAAAGCCUGACGAUGCGACGCUGCGUGAGCGAAGAAGGCCUUCGGGUUGUAAAGUUCUUUCGCCUGGGAACAAGAGAUGCCGACUAAUAUUCGGCAAAUUUGAGCGUACCAGGUAAA